GUGGAGAGAGCGCGGGACUGAUACUUUGCGCGUGGGGAUAUUGGGGUUGAGUUUCCUGGGUAAGAUGCUGCUGAUUCGGAAAAGAUCACUUCUUCAGAUAAAGAAUAUUUCUUCUCCCAACCUGCCCUGCCUCAUACCUACAGUACCCCGCUUCAACAAGAGAGUUCAGUGACGUGAAAAGUUAUCCCAGCCGGGGCCCCACCGAAAAUGUUCGAAUUGGGCCCAGCACUUCCUAAAGCCGGCCCUGGCUGCCAGUUCAACUCACGAGCUCCAGAAAUCCCAACAAGAAUAGGCUGGCUGCCUCCUGUAGGCAAGACUUGAAAGCCAGAUGCCUAGUGUGAUGGAAACAAAUAGAAGAAUGGAACACGACAACAGCGAAGACGACGACAGCGGAGACACCUCCAAAGAAAUACCCUAGAGCCCUUGGGCCAUCACGCUUCAGGAAUGUGCGUGAGGUACUAGGAGACCUGGAGAUGGGGGGUGUCCUGCUGGCCGUAGCCACUUUCGAUCUCCUGGCUUCUACCCCCUACCCUGUUGGCAGGGCAUUGUGAAGCACCCUUUCCAGCCCACCUGGGUGCAGGAGAUGGAGGAAGAGAGCAUCUGCCAUCCAGCUCCAUCCAAUCUAGAGCAAGUUAGUGGAGAUCUCCAGAGCCAUCGCCAGUGUGGUGGGAAUGGCCCAGCAAUAGGGCUCCCAGCCCUUCCCUUGCAGGAGUUUGUUCCCAACGUUGAGAGUCUUUGGGGAGGGCAGAACCUGCCAAGUGCUGAACACCCACAACCGCAAGCAGUGAAAUCAGUGGGAACUGAGGGCGACUCCUCCCUCCUAGGAUUGGCACCUUGUGAACGAACUUUCGUUGAGGACUAUCCAGAGACCCCCAGUGCCCAGCAGGAGUGGGCUGAGGAGGAGGAAGAGGAGUGGGUUGAGGAGGCGGAGGAGGAAGAAGAGAAGGAGGAGGAGAAUGUGUCCCCUGAACAAGACACCAUCAGGGUCAUCCAGGGCACCUCGAGGGCAGAGUUGAGUUGGUGGCCAAACAGCUCCACUUCCUCCAUACUGUCCCACGUCUGUGCUUCUCGGCACAGCAGCAGGGGCUGAACACUCUGAAGCCCCACUUCUCCAAAGCGGACCUCGUGGAGAGCAUUACGGAGCUGAUUGAAAAUCUUCCCGUGGUGCCAGAGCCAACCUCCAUCAUCUCCAGCUCCAUGGCCGCAGUUUGCAGCCUCAGGUAUCAGGACCGUCGCAUCCAGCUGCCCUAAUCCUGAUGCUGCUCAGGUCUGGAGCCGGGAGUCCCAGAUCUUCUCAGGCCUAGAUUACCCCCAGCUGUGGCUGUUCAUAUCCCCUAGAAGAGGAGGCAGGAAUGUCCCUCCUUUCCUGGCUGGGGGGUGAUUUCACUCCAAUAACGUUCGAGUGGCUGUAGGGAGGGGAUCACUGCGGGGGAGGAGGUCAUGUCCAUGGCAUGCCAGCGCCACUCUGGUGCUGCCAAGGAGAACACGGGCUCCUCUCUCCCCCCAGCAAACUGAAGCUGCUGCUUGCCCUGGAGCUGGAAUCACACCUCCUGUGGGCUCUUCUUUAAACCAUCUUCACCAUGGGCACUGGGCAGGAUACCACCCACUUCCAGGCUCUGCACAACACCUAUUUACAGAGUCUGGACGCCAUGGUCGGGUGCCUGCUCACCAAGACCCCCACCCCAGACAAGCUGCAGCACCUCUUGGAGGUUGAGGUCCUGCUAAAGCCUUUGUGAUGUCACUGCCGCACCCACCCGUCCCCUGCAGUGCUGAUGUCCUGCCCCUGUCCAGCCACAUUGGAUGUUUGAGCUGCUUCUACCAGUUCACCCUAUUCAAUGACUUUUCAUUGUGGGGAUGACACCGACUACACAGUAGAACACGAGACGCUCUUCCCCAUGCUACAUCAAUUGUUCAUAAAUUAGCAGACUUUAUGGACAGAAUUGACAGUUAGAGCAUGUAAUCUGACACGCUGCAUAGCGCAUGCUUUCUGGAUAGAAGAGUAGCUAGUUUAUCACUAGACACAUUCCAGAAAGGCACCUAGUCUUCAUUAGAAGACACCAAGAAAUGGGGAAUUCCCACCACUUCCCUUUCUAGUUUCUUCCUUUGGUGAUUUAUCACUGUUGAAUAUUUGUGUCCUAUUUCUAAUAUGAAUUGGUCUCUUUUGAGUUUCCAGCCACUGAGUCUUGUUCUGCUUUUCUCUGCUAGAUUAAUGAGCCCUUUAAUACCCAAUCUUUUCUCUCCAUGAAGUCACUUCAACACUUCAAUGACGUCACCUCCCAAUCUUUUUGAUCAUCUAAACAUGCUGAGCUCUUCAACAGCUCACUAGCAGGCAUUUGUCUGCAGCCCUCAAAACGUUUCAUUGCUUUUGGCUGCCCCAUCUCCAAUAUUUCAAAAUCUUUUUCAAAGGUGGAUGCCAAAACUGGAGGCAGUAUUCCAGGAUCAGUCUUACUGAUCGUGUGUCAACUCCCUUUGCUACUCACUGCUCUUUUCAUACAUUGAAUGAUGGCUUUAGCCCUGUUCACCACAGCAUCACACUGGGUGCUCAUGCUGAAUGGCUUGUCCAUCAUGGCCCCUAAAUCCUCUUCAUUGUUAGUGCUCUCCUGGAGACACUUCCCCAUUGUGUAGGUGUGGCCUGCAUGCUUUGUUGCUAGGUAGAGGACCUUUCGUUUGGUUCAUUUGUUGAACUGGAGAGGUCUGAACUCAUGGACUCCUAGACUUUAAGGUCAGAGGGGAC